ensembl:lncRNA
GAAAAAAAAUGAAAUUGAGUUUCAUUUACAUAUCAGUUCUUUGGGUGUUGCACAAUUAUUUAAAUGGUUUUAGUCUGGAGAUGAAUUCAGAUGCAUGGAAUCCUGGAGGAAAAUUGUAGCUCUUUUAUCCUUUCUGUGUGUGUGAGUCUUUUAAAUCAAGUACUGAUUAUUAAAUAUAUCUUUGAGAUGUUAAGUUUUAACUCUUCAGACGCCAGUGUGAAAUAGAAUUGGCUAUUCUCAAAGACUCAGGAUAAACUAAAUAAGCUAUAUAGAGUACAUUUAAAAUGUACAACACAAUUUGGAAGUAAAAUAAGUUACAAGAGAAGUUUACAUGAUAUAUUGCAUAUAAUUUUUAAAAAGCAGUUUUUUAUGUGAUUGUGUUUCUUAGUGAAAUUUUACAUUCCUUUUUUUGGAAGAUUGGCAAUAUUCGAAGAGUUAAAAGUAGUACAGAAAUGUGAAGUUUGGUAGUUCUAAAUGUGUUGUAUUUGACUUUUUUUUUGACAAGUUAGAAUUUUCACAGUUCUAAUAAGAUUACUUCCAAGUCUCUCAUGUACAAGCUUUAAAGGACACACUCUUGCCAUUUUAUGUACUGGAAAAUCAUUGGUCAGAUUAACAUGGCGUCUGACAGAAAUCUAAACUGUAUAAACUGAGGAACCUCAGCUAAUCAGUAUUACUUUGUAGAUCACCAUGCCCACCACAUUUCAAACUCAAACUGUCUCUAGAUGUCAAAAUCCAUUGUGUUUGAGUUUGUUUGCAGUUCCCUCAGCUUGCUGGUAAUUGUGGUGUUUUGUUUUUUGUUUUGUUUUCAAUGCAAAUGUGAUGUAAUAUUCUUAUUUUCUUUGGAUCAAAGCUGGACUGAAAAUUGUAUUGUGUAAUUAUUUUUGUGUUCUUAAUGUUAUUUGGUACUCGAGUUGUAAAUAACGUCUACUGCUGUUUAUUCCAGUUUCUACUACCUCAGGUGUCCUAUAGAUUUUUCUUCUACCAAAGUUCACUUUCACAAUGAAAUUAUAUUUGCUGUGUGACUAUGAUUCCUAAGACUUCCAGGGCUUAAGGGCUAACUUCUAGUAGCACCUUACUGUGUAAGCAAAUGUUAAAAAAAGAAAAAAAAUCUCCGGGUUAAGAAAAUUUGGCUUAAAUGUAUCCUUUGUUAUUUUAAAUAUAUUGAGAUAUUUUAAUUAAAAUUUUUACCCCAUUGAACCAAUUUUAUAGUAUUUGUACCUAUUUUGGUGUUUUGUCUUUAUAGUAAAUAAAAGUUUUUGAACAAAUUUAA